AGUUGCCAGAUCGUUGAUUCUAGUGCAAGGGGGAAUGGUAAUUUUGGUGCAAGUGGUAAAUGUUUAUUAAUUUCAAUUUGUGUUUAAAUUAUUAUUGCGGUGGGAUACAGUUUAUUAAUAUUCCCCUCUAAGUGAGGCAACUAUGGGCCCAUGGGCAGUAUGUACAUACAUAUAUAUUUUCCAUUUCCAUUGCCGUUUAAUGAGGGGAUGACCAUUGGUUUGGAAAACUAACAAGUACGAGCAUAAUGAAUAAUGCUUAAGCACGCGCGAAACCAAGAGGUGUGAAAUUGGGCUCACGGGCGGUACUUAGGCUUUUCGGUUCUUUAACUUCUUUAAGAACUGGGUUCUGGCAAAUGCACCAGAUGACCAAUGAAAAAAAAACGGUUUUGUUUUUGGCGGAAGUGCAGCAGUACCUUUCUAUGGAUGAGAACCUGCAGUUCGUGCUGACAGCGAGCGCAAUUACAUAAAUGUUUGUUUUGACAACAAUAGCGGCUGGGCUGCAACAAAAACCACAAUACCAAAAACAACAAUAAUGCCGGAGACGAGAUUGCAUAAUUGCUUGUAAGAUUUUGCUCCCACAAUUUCUCAUUUUUUGUCAUGAGACAAACAUACCGGCUGAUUGUUAUCUCAGCCACAAGAGAGGAAAAGAGAGGAAGAGAUGUGAAUUGAGAGAGUGAUCCUUUUACCGCAACUUCCGACGCAGGCUCUCAAUCACGAGCUUUUUCGCCUGCAAAAGCUGCUCUCUUAGCGUGCAACAGAGAUGCUCAAUGCCAUGGAGAGAGAGUCACAGUGGGCACUUUGUUUAUUUUUGCGCUGCUUAUCUAAAUGUAUUCAAAUAUAGCCAUAAAUUGUAAUGUAGCACUUUCGUAAUUGUCGGCUUUAUUUAUGCACUGUGAACAGCCAGCGGCUAGCUAGCGCCGUUGCCUAUUCCACCGUCCACGCUCUAAUGGUCAACCAGUGUUGGCAAUUUAAAUAGUUUAUGGCUAUAUUUAAA